rnacentral:rRNA from 1 species
AACGAACGCUGGCGGCAGGCCUAACACAUGCAAGUCGAGCGAGACCUUCGGGUCUAGCGGCGGACGGGUGAGUAACGCGUGGGAAUAUGCCCUUUGGUACGGAAUAGCCUCGGGAAACUGAGAGUAAUACCGUAUGUGCCCUCCGGGGGAAAGAUUUAUCGCCAAAGGAUUAGCCCGCGUUGGAUUAGGUAGUUGGUGGGGUAAUGGCCUACCAAGCCUACGAUCCAUAGCUGGUUUGAGAGGAUGAUCAGCCACACUGGGACUGAGACACGGCCCAGACUCCUACGGGAGGCAGCAGUGGGGAAUCUUAGACAAUGGGGGCAACCCUGAUCUAGCCAUGCCGCGUGAGUGAUGAAGGCCUUAGGGUUGUAAAGCUCUUUCAGCUGGGAAGAUAAUGACGGUACCAGCAGAAGAAGCCCCGGCUAACUCCGUGCCAGCCGCCGCUGUAACUC